AAAUAAGAAACAAAUUAUUGUAUUUAGUUUCGACCUAAAAUUUUGAUGAUAUUAAAUUCAUCCUUAUUUU
rnacentral:tRNA from 1 species